CUCCAGCCUGGGCGACAGAGCAAGACUCCAUCUCAAAAAAAACCAACAACAACAACAACAACAACAACAACAAAAAGACCACUAGCUAGACUAAUAAAGAAGAAAAGAGAGAAGAUCCAAAUAAACACAAUUAGAAAUGAUAAAGGAAAUGUUACUACUGACCUCACAGAUAAAAAAACAACCACCAGAGACUACUAUGACCACAUCUACACAUACAGACUAGAAAACCUAAAACAGAUGAAUAAAUUCCUGGACACAUACACCCUCCCAAGACUGAGCAAGGAAGAAAUUGAUUCCCUGAACAGACCAAUAAUGAGCUCCGAAAUUCAAUCAGUAAUAAAUAGCCUACCAACCAAAAAAGGCCAGGACCUGAAGGACUCACAGCUGAAUUCUAUUAGAUGUGCAAAGAAGAGCUGGUACCAUUCCUACAGAAACUAUUCUAAAAAAUUGAGCAGAAAGGACUCCUUCCCAACUCAUUCUAUGAGGCUAGCAUCAUCUUAAUGGUAAACUUUCAAUGACUCUCCACCACCAAGAGGAUGAAUUUCUAUCUCCUUAGAAUGGCAUAUAAAGCCAUUUGUGAUUUGGCCCUGGCUUCCCUCUCCACUCCAGCAGCUGUACUUAAGUACUUGUAGGUCCCUUAGGGAGCCAUAAUUUGUGGCAUUUUUACAUGUUACUUCCUUGGCAUAUAUAUUUUAUUUUAUUUUUGUCAGGCCCACACCACUUAGAUGUUGCUGACUCUAGUAAAGCUUCCCUUACUCCCCAGGUGCUGGGCUAAGUACCCCUAUUCUGGGAACCCUUCUGCUUACCAUAUCACAGCACUUCCGUGACUUCAUAAUCGUCUGUUUACUUGCCAUUUCCUCUAUUAAAUUCUGAGCUCCCUGAUGGGAGUAUUCAUGGUUAGAGUCUCAGUCUCUAUUACGGGCCCUAGUACACUUCAGGAACUCAAAAGCUUUGCUGAUAUAAUGCAAGGUGAUAAAAAAGUAGAAAGACUUGGGAUAAUCUUGAUUUCUGAAGGCAUCAAACGGGAAUUAGAGAAAGCAGCAGGAAAAACGAAGGCCUUUUUAAGUUCCAUGAGAACUACGGUUUGCAAGACUGGUCAAAACAGUACAAUGCAAGCGGCAAGAAUCAGGAAGUGCACAGAAACAAGAAGCUCGGUGCACACUGGGAUCAGGCAAGCAUCUGGGAGAAGACUGUAGCAAGACUGGAUCCUGAGAAAUAUACAGAGUUCAGAGGCUCCAUGGCUACACUUUGGGCAUGUAUGUCAUUACAGGAAUGAAAAAAAGAUGAUGGCCAAAUGCUGUAUUAAAAUCCCAUUAGAAAUGCCGGGAGAAAUUUAUGGCCCCAAUCUCUUUUAUCUGACAGCAGUUCCCAUGUGAUCCAUCAGGCUCUGAACAUGAAUUUUAAUGGGCUCAGAACCACUUCUCUACCCUGAGGUCACAGGCUGUCAGAGUGAAUCUUCCACAAACUGAUUGGAACCUGAAGAAUUUGCUCUGUCAAGAGAGUGCUGCUCUGGCCAAGUCACCUCGCUGAAAUCUCCACUUCCACUUGUGCAACCUACCAAGCCACUCUCUACACAGCUGCCAGAGUGAUUACAAAAACAACGCGGGAUUAUGCUACCCCUGCUUAUCUAAAAUUUGUCAAAAUGCCCGUUACACUUUGAAUAAAAUACAGAUUCCUCUCAGAUCUCAUUUCUUAUCAUGUCUUUCUCAAUCAUUAUGUUCCAGCCUCACUGACCUUCUUUCUGUUCCUGUAAAAUAUUCCUGCCUCAAGGGCGCAGGCCUACGACCUGCAGUUCUCUUUUUCCCACAUGUGACCAGGCUCUCUCUUAGCCAUCAGGUCUCAAAUAAGCUCUUUCCGUUCUGUCUAGGCAUCUUAUCAAAAUCAACCUGUGUAUUAUUAUUCAUUUAUCACAUAAUCUUGUUUUAUUUUCCUCAUAGCACUCUCACUUUCUGAAAUUAUCUUUGUUUAUAUGUUUAAUGCCCUUCUUUUCCACUAGAAUGGAAACUCAAAGAUCAAGAAACUUAUCUGGCCUUUUCACUGUUGAAUUGCCAAAAUUUUGAACAGUGCCUAACAUACAGUAAAGGCUCAAUAAAUAAAUAAAUAAAUGUUCAGCUCUCUUGGCUGUCUCUGCAGUGAUCAAGAAUAUUUUGAUGUCUCUCAAAAGAACUAUAUGCUUAUAGUAGCCU
rnacentral:lncRNA from 10 species